GCUCCUGUGGCCUAAUGGAUAGGCGUUGGCCUCCCGGGCCCAAAGAUGUGGGGUUUAAAGUCCUGCCAGGAGCA